rnacentral:lncRNA from 1 species
GAUUUACGAUUGUGUCCAUCAAACGAACUAAAGUCUCUGGGAUCACUGAGUAUCGCUUUCGUUUCAUAGCCUCCUACUGUUCCGUUACGCAGCGGCAUACCGCUUCAUUUUUUACAAUUACCAUUACAUUUUUCCAAAUUACACCCAUUCUAAAGAAGUUUUCACUUAAAAAAUUUUCAUAUAAAUAUAUUUUUCUGAUUUUUCAGAUGACUGUCUUCAAUUUGGUGGCGUACCUAAGACAGAAAAUAGUAUAAUAUUGUGCAACAUUGCUUUGAGGGUCAAACAACCAUGACCCACCUUACCAACUUUCCAAGAAUACCCACCCUACGGACUUUUCAGAAAUACUCUACCAUACGAACUUUUUAGAAAUACUCCUAUCCUACAAACUUUUCAGAAGUACUAUACAGAAAUACAGUUCGGAGGGUUUGUAUUUCUGAAAUGUUCGUAGAGUAGGGUAUUUCUAAAAAGUUCGUAUGGUAGAGUAUUUCUGAAAAGUUCGUGGGGUAGUAAAAAACAAACCUAUAUUAAACUGAUUGAUAAAUUGAUUNAUUCCACAGGGGAGGUAAAUAAUUUGACUACAAGUGUCUACUCAUUAUUAUCAAGAUUGAUAAGAAGAAUCCAACAAUACUGCAACUAUGAAAGAUUUUUAAAUGAACUGUUCUUAUUAUACUUACAUUGGGAAGAAAUCAUAUGCAGUUAUGUUCUAUUAAAAGAAUACCAAAAUAAAUGUAUCCUAGUUAUCACAAAUUAAGAAAACAAAUGGCACAUUCAUUAUAUUAGGAAAUUCUAUUCAUGUCAAAAUCUUUUAUCAAGUUUUAUACACAAGAUUCAAUGUGAAUUAUUAUGCAAAUAGAAUGCAGCUGCAGUGUCAAGAAAUAAUGAAAAUCAUAAAUUGUAAAAAGAGAUGAUAAAUCGUUUGACUAGAAGACACAACGCAUUACUUUUAACAACUAUAAGAAGAAUCUAACAAUAAUGCAACAAUGAAAUAUUUUUGAAGACACUACCCUGAUUAUACUUACAGUUGGAAAAAACCAUACUCAGUUCUAUUUCAUCAAUUAAAUUUCAGAAGGAAUGUAUCCUAGUUAUCACAAAUUGAGAAAACAAAUAGCAAAUACAUUCUAAUGUGCAGUUCUUAAUAUGUAAUAAAUUUAUUAAUGUACUUCUUACUGGGAAUUUGAAAACAUUACUGGGAAUCGACUAAUACCAAAAAAAUGUAUAUAUUUAUAAGAACUCAUGUGUUUUUUGUAGAAAUACCAACAUGUAUUUUCUUAUGCAAAUAGGAUGCAACUAUAGUGAGAAGAAACAAAAUUCUAGACAAUAAUAUGUUAAGAGGUAGAAUAUGUGGCGCCAUCUAGACGAAAGAUAACACAUCGGUAGGAGAAAAUCAAGAUGGCUACCUGUCAAUGUACUUUGAAUACCGGAAAACAGUCCACCACGUGCAGUGUAAAGUAAUUAAUUAAAGAAAUUUGAUCGGCAAUUCAGCUUAAGAAGAAAACCAUUGCACUUGAUGUUUGGUCAGUUUAAGAAGAAAACCAUUGGACUUGAUGUUUGAUCAGCUUAAGAAGAAAACCAUUAGACUUGAUGUUUGAUCAGCUUAAGAAGAAAACCAUUGGACUUGUGGUUGUGAUAUAAAAAAGAAUAUCAUUGUACUCUACAGGUUAUGUCGACUUAAAAAGAAUACCAUUGCACUUUAAAGGUUAUGUCGACGUAAAAAGUAUACCAUUGCACUUUAAAGGUUAUGUCGACGUAAAAGUAUACCAUUGCACUUGAGGUUACUUCAGAUUAAGACGUUCCGUGUCAAACUUUUUUUUACCUAUCCUAUCAUCCAAGCUAUUUAAUUUUGCUUUAAUGAAAUCAACCAUUACA